UGCAAGUCGAACGGUAGCACAGAGAGCUUGCUCUCGGGUGACGAGUGGCGGACGGGUGAGUGAUGUCUGGGAAACUGCCUGAUGGAGGGGGAUAACUACUGGAAACGGUAGCUAAUACCGCAUAACGUCGCAAGACCAAAGAGGGGGACCUUCGGGCCUCUUGCCAUCAGAUGUGCCCAGAUGGGAUUAGCUAGUAGGUGGGGUAACGGCUCACCUAGGCGACGAUCCCUAGCUGGUCUGAGAGGAUGACCAGCCACACUGGAACUGAGACACGGUCCAGACUCCUACGGGAGGCAGCAGUGGGGAAUAUUGCACAAUGGGCGCAAGCCUGAUGCAGCCAUGCCGCGUGUAUGAAGAAGGCCUUCGGGUUGUAAAGUACUUUCAGCGGGGAGGAAGGUGUUGUGGUUAAUAACCGCAGCAAUUGACGUUACCCGCAGAAGAAGCACCGGCUAACUCCGUGCCAGCAGCCGCGGUAAUACGGAGGGUGCAAGCGUUAAUCGGAAUUACUGGGCGUAAAGCGCACGCAGGCGGUCUGUCAAGUCGGAUGUGAAAUCCCCGGGCUCAACCUGGGAACUGCAUUCCGAAACUGGCAGGCUAGAGUCUUGUAGAGGGGGGUAGAAUUCCAGGUGUAGCGGUGAAAUGCGUAGAGAUCUGGAGGAAUACCGGUGGCGAAGCCGGCCCCCUGGACAAAGACUGACGCUCAGGUGCGAAAGCGUGGGAGCAAACAGGAUUAGAUACCCUGGUAGUCCACGCCGUAAACGAUGUCGACUU
rnacentral:rRNA from 1 species